rnacentral:rRNA from 1 species
GGCGGAAUGCUUUACACAUGCAAGUCGAGCGGCAGCGCGGGGCAACCUGGCGGCGAGCGGCGAACGGGUGCGUAACACAUCGGAACAUGUCCAUUCGUGGGGGAUAGCCCGGCGAAAGCCGGAUUAAUACCGCAUGAGCCCGAGAGGGGAAAGUGGGGGACUCGAAAGAGCCUCACGCGGAUGGGUUGGCCGAUGUCCGAUUAGCUCGUUGGCGGGGUAAGAGCCCACCAAGGCGAUGAUCGGUAGCUGGUCUGAGAGGAUGAUCAGCCACACUGGGACUGAGACACGGCCCAGACUCCUACGGGAGGCAGCAGUGGGGAAUUUUGGACAAUGGGGGCAACCCUGAUCCAGCCAUUCCGCGUGAGUGAAGAANGCCUUCGGGUUGUAAAGCUCUUUUGUCCGGAGCGAAAANGUUACGGUGAAUAUCCGUGACUACUGACGGUACCGGAAGAAUAAGCACCGGCUAACUACGUGCCAGCAGCCGCGGUAAUAC